CUUCUGCAAUAGGCGUGGUAAUUAGGAGGUUCGGCUUCAGUCAGCCAUCUUGGAGUACAAGAAUAAAAAUGGCUCAUUCAUUGAUCCACAAAUUGUGCUGUAUUUCGAGCCAAAUUUCAAGAGAAUUACUUGGUUUAAAACCUUUUAAACUUGUUUACUACAAAGAUAAGGCAUAGUCCUGGAUUUUAAUAGUUCUUUUUUGAACUCUACUAAACAUGGAAGAGGAAAAACAGUGUGUGCAGGUGUGUAAUUUUGGUCAUAUUUUUGCCAUUGUAGGAGCUCUUCAAUAAGUCUGUCCUGUAUUAUAAUGUAGUAUAUGAACUUCCAGAGUCCUAAAAACAUGACAAAAACGGCCCGAGUUCACUCAAGGAUUUCGCCACCUAAAAAUUGAAAAACAGCACUAUAAGUUCCAGCAUUUAUUCUUCAUAGCCUUAUCUUUCUAUUAAUUUGCUCUUAAGUCCUAAAAUCCAAUUUUCUUUGAUUUUAUAAAGCAUGAAAAGGAUAGGUACAUAAAUGGGCCAUUUUUAUUCUUGUACUCCAAAAUGGCUGACAGAAAACCGAACCCCCUAAUUAUCACGCCUAUUGCAGACGGUCUAUUGAGCUGAUAGAAAGUGUCCAGAAGGUUGUAGUGCCAACAGAAAGAGGCAGAUAUGGAAAAGAGCUGAAAAGUUUGUUUUCAGUGCAAAAUGGGGAACCGCCGUAGUACCAGACCAAGAUGACUGAAUGGUCAACUAUAUCAUGAUAGUGUAGGUGUUUUGUGUAUUUUAAGUAGUUUAGUUAGUUAUGUGUGUGUAUGUAUGUAUGUAGUAUGAUAUCUGUGCUUUUGUAGACAAACUCAGUAUAUAUAUGCAUCUGUAUUCAUGAUUUGAAUAAUUAAAUCAAAGCAUCAAUUAUAACAAACUGA